AAUUUUUUUUUUUUGGUAGAGAUGGAGGGGUCUCCCUAUGUUGCCCAGGCUGGUCUCAAACUACUGGACUCAAGUGAUCCUCCCACUAUGGCCUCCCAAACUGCUGGGAUUACAGGUGUAGGCCACCACACCCAGCCUCAAAAUUUAUUUUUAAUUAAAUAGUUUGCGUCUAAUGAUGUACCCAUACUAACAUCAAAUCCAAUUAAAUCUCCAGUGAUAACAAUCAGAUUUAUAAUUGAUUUUAAGUCUAAAACAAACUGAUUCCUUCAUUGUAUGUGACAGUCCAUCCAACAAAGGAAAAAAUCUUUUACUGCAUCAUACCAUGUACAAAGCAAGGCAAAGGAGAGACCUAGAAAUAUAAAAACAGGAAAGGGGCUACGUUUGUUUUUUAAAAUUCUAAGCACCAAAUAUUUUGAUUCAGGCAUGGUUAGAAGUAUAGUUGAUAAAAAUAUACUAAAAUUGAUUGUGGUAGCAGUUAUACAUAUUAAGUUUAAUAUGUGAUCAUACUAAAAACCAUUGGGGCCAGGUGUGGUGGCUCACGCCUGUAAUCCCAGCACUUUGGGAGGCUGAGGCGAGUUGAUCACCUGAGGUCAGGUGUUCGAGACCAGCCUGACCAAUAUGGUGGAACCCCGUCUCUACUACAAAUACAAAAAAAUUAGCCAGGCGUGGUGGUGGG
rnacentral:lncRNA from 10 species